rnacentral:rRNA from 1 species
GAUGAACGCUGGCGGCGUGCCUAAUACAUGCAAGUCGAGCGGACCAAAGAGAGCUUGCUCUCUGAGGUUAGCGGCGGACGGGUGAGUAACACGUGGGUAACCUGCCUGUAAGACGGGGAUAACUUCGGGAAACCGAAGCUAAUACCGGGUGAUAAAGAGAAACGCCUGUUUCUUUUUUGAAAGUCGGCCUUGUGCUGACGCUUACAGAUGGGCCCGCGGCGCAUUAGCUAGUUGGUGAGGUAACGGCUCACCAAGGCGACGAUGCGUAGCCGCCCUGAGAGGGUGAUCGGCCAGACGGGGACUGAGACACGGCCCAGACUCCUACGGGAGGCAGCAGUAGGGAAUCUUCGGCAAUGGACGAAAGUCUGACCGAGCAACGCCGCGUGAGCGAUGAAGGCCUUCGGGUCGUAAAGCUCUGUUGUCAGAGAAGAACAAGUACCGGAGUAACUGCCGGUACCUUGACGGUACCUGACCAGAAAGCCACGGCUAACUACGUGCCAGCCGCCGCCGUAA